GAUGAACGCUGGCGGCGUGCCUAAUACAUGCAAGUCGAGCGAACGGACGAGAAGCUUGCUUCUCUGAUGUUAGCGGCGGACGGGUGAGUAACACGUGGAUAACCUACCUAUAAGACUGGGAUAACUUCGGGAAACCGGAGCUAAUACCGGAUAAUAUUUUGAACCGCAUGGUUCAAAAGUGAAAGACGGUCUUGCUGUCACUUAUAGAUGGAUCCGCGCUGCAUUAGCUAGUUGGUAAGGUAACGGCUUACCAAGGCAACGAUGCAUAGCCGACCUGAGAGGGUGAUCGGCCACACUGGAACUGAGACACGGUCCAGACUCCUACGGGAGGCAGCAGUAGGGAAUCUUCCGCAAUGGGCGAAAGCCUGACGGAGCAACGCCGCGUGAGUGAUGAAGGUCUUCGGAUCGUAAAACUCUGUUAUUAGGGAAGAACAUAUGUGUAAGUAACUGUGCACAUCUUGACGAUACCUAAUCAAAAAGCCACGGCUAACUACGUG
rnacentral:rRNA from 1 species